ensembl:lncRNA
CGAAGACUACAGCCAGCUUUCCGCUGCACCUGCUCCAGUAUAAAGUUGCUCAGUAACAAUUUCCCAUCAGCAGUGAUGUUUGGAGAUCUCUAUCAAGGCAGGUGUUCAGCAAAUGGUCUCUUUGUAGGGGGAGUACCCCACUCUGCUGAUUUCCAGCACAAGAUCUGUACAACACAAUGACACAAGGCUUUGCAGCUUCAGGCGCAGCAUGAGGUGAAUAUAAUCUCCUGAGCCUGAAAGUCUGUUUUAUAAAUGUUAACAGGUGUGUGGAAACGGAUUGCAGGGUGAGGUAUUCCUGCUUGCCAAAAGAAAUUGGGUGGGGAGCAUCUUGGAUUACCCCUUCAGUGAUGUAGAUGAGCAAAACCAUCACAACAAGCAUGAUGGCCAAUGCCAGAUAGACCAGUGCUCCUGAAAACUACUGCAUCAGCAAGAAUGGAGGUGGAAAACAGAGCUGGACGAGAGGCAAAGACUAUUUUACAAAGGAGAUAAAGUGCUCUCUGUGAUGUGGUGUCUUCUUCACCCUUCUCCCCACUGCUUUAUGCUGUGCUGUGAACGUGAGUUUGCAAAGGAUAAGCUUGGAGGAAUUUCAAAGUAGGGAUUUUAUCCUGUAGGACUGACAUCAGUGUACAAAGUUUUGCCCCUAAAAAGAAUGGGUAGAUGCCAAAAGAGAGCCAGGCUUCCUUUUGCUGUUUGAAGCCCAUUGGUCACAGCUACCAUGACCGUGGAGACUGUAUCUUCAGGUGGCUCCAGCCUGGUUCCUUCUGGAGGUCAAGGUCUUAGACCUCAAGACCAUUCUAAGAUGAUCAAUUUCAUGAAAAACAAAUUUCCCCCAAGCUUUGCAAGGAAAUGGUGGACUCAUAGUACUGUAGUGUUACUUGUAUAUGCAACUAUGAAUGUGUGGUGAUUGAGGACCAGAGAUAAUCAAGUGAACAUAGCUGCAAAGGAAAGCUUCCAGUGUCCUGGUUCAUGCCAGGAAAAAGAAACCAGAGAUUUUUGUAAGCUCAGUGCACCAUGGGAACGAAGUUGAAGGGGCUGAACAGUGAGCAAGGAUCCAGCUGAGCAUGGAGAACCAACACAAAGGCGACUUCAUUUUGCCCAUUGUUGAAAGAUGUAAAAAGACCAUGACUCUGUCGUUCUGGAACACCAUCAGAAAUGGCACAUUUUCCCUCUUCUCUCCAAACUGAGUUACUUUUGAGCCUGAAAUACCCUGAAAACAGCAUGAGAUGUCAUAGUCAGCAGUGGUGAGGUAAGACAUGACUCUUGUCAAGGAGGGGACACAUCCAGCACGUGUGUCCACAUGACUAUCAUUUGGAACAUGACUAAUGAUGACAAGCAGUCACCAAUGGUAAAUAACAAAAGCAUGACUCUGGCCAAGCCAGAGGUAAUAACUAGUUAGCUCCUUUGCUAAUGUGAUAUGAGGAAGGAUACUGACUCAACUCUGAUGGGGGGAAAAAGGCAUGUGUAGCAUCUCACAGUGGGUAGAUGGAGUUUCUCAUCUUUUUGUCUCUACAGUAUGUUGCCAUCAGUGCCACCAAAAGAACUCACUCUAAAAUUAAUCCAGCAGCCAUAAAGCACCUGCAUGUAAUAAGAGAAGAGCUGUGAUGUGCAUUAAAAAAAAGGUCUGGGGAAUUGUUUCUAUCAUUUGUGAGCAGCUGUAAAUACCUGUUGACUUCUAAAUCUUGCUGAUUAUUGAAUGUGACUUUAUUUUGCAGCAAAACACAAAACACACAUCUCAGAGGGGUUCAACUUUUCUGAGAAAAAUCAUUCUCCGUCUUAAAAUUCAUUCAGAGCAAUAUAUCAAUUUUCAUUAGAUUUUUCCAUUGUAACAAUUAAACAAAUUGCUUUUCCUCCGUUUCACUUUAGCACUGUUAAAGUGUUUUGAUGACACAGAAAGACGUUACUUCAACUUGUUUUGAUUUGUUUUGUACUGUAUUGCAAUAUUAAUUGAAACAUUUUCAAUCUGUGCUAUAUUUUAUUGUGUUGGGAUUUAGGUUGCGCGUGCCUUUGUUAUGCUUGGUUUUGACGUUAUCAAAGUGAAAUGUUUCUGUGGUGUCAGAUGAAAUGCCUUUUGCGUUCUUGUUCCAUCAAGCAUUUUAAAAUUUUAUGGUUUUGUUCAGAUUCAGAAUGAUAAAUAGGAAGCAAAUGUGGACAUUUCCCAGAGGACAAAAAUUCUAAAUUCUAGCCAACUCUCCCUUUGUGUGUGAAGGGAAUACACGUUUUCUGGGCAUUAAAUCUGCAACUUUGGAGAGCUGCUCCAUCUGUCAAUUCUACUGCAGCCCUUCUAUGUGACCUGGGGCAAGUCACUUAGGACUUGACAUGAGGAAAGAGACUGGAAAAGCUAUCCUUCAUCACCA